GCGGCCGAUGUCUGAUUAGUUAGUUGGUGGGGUAAAGGCCUACCAAGGCAACGAUCAGUAGCUGGUCUGAGAGGACGAUCAGCCACACUGGGACUGAGACACGGCCCAGACUCCUACGGGAGGCAGCAGUGGGGAAUUUUGGACAAUGGGCGAAAGCCUGAUCCAGCCAUGCCGCGUGAACGAAGAAGGCCUUCGGGUUGUAAAGUUCUUUUAGUUGGAAAGAAAAAAUUAUGAUGAAUAAUCAUAAUUCAUGACGGUACCGACAGAAAAAGCACCGGCUAACUACGUGCCAGCAGCCGCGGUAAUACGUAGGGUGCAAGCGUUAAUCGGAAUUACUGGGCGUAAAGGGUGUGCAGGCGGCCUUGUAAGUCAGAUGUGAAAGCCCCGGGCUUAACCUGGGAAUU
rnacentral:rRNA from 1 species